GGGUUGUGAGGUUAAGCGACUAAGCGUACACGGUGGAUGCCCUGGCAGUCAGAGGCGAUGAAGGACGUGCUAAUCUGCGAAAAGCGUCGGUAAGGUGAUAUGAACCGUUAUAGCCGGCGAUGUCCGAAUGGGGAAACCCAGUGCAAUUCGUUGCACUAUCGUUUGAUGAAUACAUAGUCAAACGAGGCGAACCGGGGGAACUGAAACAUCUAAGUACCCCGAGGAAAAGAAAUCAACCGAGAUUCCCCCAGUAGCGGCGAGCGAACGGGGAGCAGCCCGGAGUCUGAAUCAGCUUGUGUGUUAGUGGAAGCGUCUGGAAAGUCGCAGGGUACAGGGUGAUACUCCCGUACACUAAAACGCACAGGCUGUGAACUCGAAGAGUAGGGCGGGACACGUGGUAUCCUGUCUGAAUAUGGGGGGACCAUCCUCCAAGGCUAAAUACUCCUGACUGACCGAUAGUGAACCAGUACCGUGAGGGAAAGGCGAAAAGAACCCCGGCGAGGGGAGUGAAAAAGAACCUGAAACCGUGUACGUACAAGCAGUAGGAGCCUCUUUAUGGGGUGACUGCGUACCUUUUGUAUAAUGGGUCAGCGACUUAUAUUCUGUAGCAAGGUUAACCGUAUAGGGGAGCCGCAGGGAAACCGAGUCUUAACUGGGCGUUAAGUUGCAGGGUAUAGACCCGAAACCCGGUGAUCUAGCCAUGGGCAGGUUGAAGGUUGGGUAACACUAACUGGAGGACCGAACCGACUAAUGUUGAAAAAUUAGCGGAUGACUUGUGGCUGGGGGUGAAAGGCCAAUCAAACCGGGAGAUAGCUGGUUCUCCCCGAAAGCUAUUUAGGUAGCGCCUCGUGAACUCAUCUUCGGGGGUAGAGCACUGUUUCGGCUAGGGGGUCAUCCCGACUUACCAACCCGAUGCAAACUACGAAUACCGAAGAAUGUUAUCACGGGAGACACACGGCGGGUGCUAACGUCCGUCGUGAAGAGGGAAACAACCCAGACCGCCAGCUAAGGUCCCAAAGUCAUGGUUAAGUGGGAAACGAUGUGGGAAGGCCCAGACAGCCAGGAUGUUGGCUUAGAAGCAGCCAUCAUUUAAAGAAAGCGUAAUAGCUCACUGGUCGAGUCGGCCUGCGCGGAAGAUGUAACGGGGCUAAACCAUGCACCGAAGCUGCGGCAGCGACACUAUGUGUUGUUGGGUAGGGGAGCGUUCUGUAAGCCGUUGAAGGUGGCCUGUGAGGGUUGCUGGAGGUAUCAGAAGUGCGAAUGCUGACAUAAGUAACGAUAAUGCGGGUGAAAAACCCGCACGCCGGAAGACCAAGGGUUCCUGUCCAACGUUAAUCGGGGCAGGGUGAGUCGACCCCUAAGGCGAGGCCGAAAGGCGUAGUCGAUGGGAAACAGGUUAAUAUUCCUGUACUCGGUGUUACUGCGAAGGGGGGACGGAGAAGGCUAUGUUGGCCGGGCGACGGUUGUCCCGGUUUAAGCAUGUAGGCGGAUGUUCCAGGUAAAUCCGGAACGUUAUUAACGCUGAGGUGUGAUGACGAGGCACUACGGUGCUGAAGUGACAAAUGCCCUGCUUCCAGGAAAAGCCUCUAAGCAUCAGGUAACAUCAAAUCGUACCCCAAACCGACACAGGUGGUCAGGUAGAGAAUACCAAGGCGCUUGAGAGAACUCGGGUGAAGGAACUAGGCAAAAUGGUGCCGUAACUUCGGGAGAAGGCACGCUGAUAUGUAGGUGAAGUGGUUUACCCAUGGAGCUGAAAUCAGUCGAAGAUACCAGCUGGCUGCAACUGUUUAUUAAAAACACAGCACUGUGCAAACACGAAAGUGGACGUAUACGGUGUGACGCCUGCCCGGUGCCGGAAGGUUAAUUGAUGGGGUUAUCCGUAAGGAGAAGCUCUUGAUCGAAGCCCCGGUAAACGGCGGCCGUAACUAUAACGGUCCUAAGGUAGCGAAAUUCCUUGUCGGGUAAGUUCCGACCUGCACGAAUGGCGUAAUGAUGGCCAGGCUGUCUCCACCCGAGACUCAGUGAAAUUGAACUCGCUGUGAAGAUGCAGUGUACCCGCGGCAAGACGGAAAGACCCCGUGAACCUUUACUAUAGCUUGACACUGAACACUGGUCCUUGAUGUGUAGGAUAGGUGGGAGGCUUUGAAGCGUGGACGCCAGUCUGCGUGGAGCCAUCCUUGAAAUACCACCCUUUAAUGGCUGGUGUUCUAACGUGGGCCCGUUAUCCGGGUUGCGGACAGUGUCUGGUGGGUAGUUUGACUGGGGCGGUCUCCUCCUAAAGAGUAACGGAGGAGCACGAAGGUCAGCUAAUCCUGGUCGGACAUCAGGAGGUUAGUGCAAUGGCAUAAGCUGGCUUGACUGCGAGCGUGACGGCGCGAGCAGGUGCGAAAGCAGGUCAUAGUGAUCCGGUGGUUCUGAAUGGAAGGGCCAUCGCUCAACGGAUAAAAGGUACUCCGGGGAUAACAGGCUGAUACCGCCCAAGAGUUCAUAUCGACGGCGGUGUUUGGCACCUCGAUGUCGGCUCAUCACAUCCUGGGGCUGAAGUAGGUCCCAAGGGUAUGGCUGUUCGCCAUUUAAAGUGGUACGCGAGCUGGGUUUAGAACGUCGUGAGACAGUUCGGUCCCUAUCUGCCGUGGGCGCUGGAGAAUUGAGGGGGGCUGCUCCUAGUACGAGAGGACCGGAGUGGACGCAUCACUGGUGUUCGGGUUGUCAUGCCAAUGGCAUUGCCCGGUAGCUAAAUGCGGAAGAGAUAAGUGCUGAAAGCAUCUAAGCACGAAACUUGCCCCGAGAUGAGUUCUCCCUGACUCCUUGAGAGUCCUGAAGGAACGUUGAAGACGACGACGUUGAUAGGCCGGGUGUGUAAGCGCAGCGAUGCGUUGAGCUAACCGGUACUAAUGAACCGUGAGGCUUAACCUUACAACGCCGAAG
rnacentral:rRNA from 1 species